CUGGAGGUAUCAGAAGUGCGAAUGCUGACAUAAGUAACGAUAAAGCGGGUGAAAAGCCCGCUCGCCGGAAGACCAAGGGUUCCUGUCCAACGUUAAUCGGGGCAGGGUGAGUCGACCCCUAAGGCGAGGCCGAAAGGCGUAGUCGAUGGGAAACGGGUUAAUAUUCCCGUACUUGGUGUUACUGCGAAGGGGGGACGGAGAAGGCUAUGUUGGCCGGGCGACGGUUGUCCCGGUUUAAGCGUGUAGGUGUGUGUUCCAGGUAAAUCCGGUUCACUUUAACACUGAGGCGUGACGACGAGGCACUACGGUGCUGAAGCAACAAAUGCCCUGCUUCCAGGAAAAGCCUCUAAGCAUCAGGUAACAUCAAAUCGUACCCCAAACCGACACAGGUGGUCAGGUAGAGAAUACCAAGGCGCUUGAGAGAACUCGGGUGAAGGAACUAGGCAAAAUGGUGCCGUAACUUCGGGAGAAGGCACGCUGACACGUAGGUGAAGUGAUUUACUCAUGGAGCUGAAGUCAGUCGAAGAUACCAGCUGGCUGCAACUGUUUAUUAAAAACACAGCACUGUGCAAACACGAAAGUGGACGUAUACGGUGUGACGCCUGCCCGGUGCCGGAAGGUUAAUUGAUGGGGUCAGCGCAAGCGAAGCUCCUGAUCGAAGCCCCGGUAAACGGCGGCCGUAACUAUAACGGUCCUAAGGUAGCGAAAUUCCUUGUCGGGUAAGUUCCGACCUGCACGAAUGGCGUAAUGAUGGCCAGGCUGUCUCCACCCGAGACUCAGUGAAAUUGAACUCGCUGUGAAGAUGCAGUGUACCCGCGGCAAGACGGAAAGACCCCGUGAACCUUUACUAUAGCUUGACACUGAACAUUGAGCCUUGAUGUGUAGGAUAGGUGGGAGGCUUUGAAGUGUGGACGCCAGUCUGCAUGGAGCCGACCUUGAAAUACCACCCUUUAAUGUUUGAUGUUCUAACGUGGACCCGUAAUCCGGGUUGCGGACAGUGUCUGGUGGGUAGUUUGACUGGGGCGGUCUCCUCCUAAAGAGUAACGGAGGAGCACGAAGGUUGGCUAAUCCUGGUCGGACAUCAGGAGGUUAGUGCAAUGGCAUAAGCCAGCUUGACUGCGAGCGUGACGGCGCGAGCAGGUGCGAAAGCAGGUCAUAGUGAUCCGGUGGUUCUGAAUGGAAGGGCCAUCGCUCAACGGAUAAAAGGUACUCCGGGGAUAACAGGCUGAUACCGCCCAAGAGUUCAUAUCGACGGCGGUGUUUGGCACCUCGAUGUCGGCUCAUCACAUCCUGGGGCUGAAGUAGGUCCCAAGGGUAUGGCUGUUCGCCAUUUAAAGUGGUACGCGAGCUGGGUUUAGAACGUCGUGAGACAGUUCGGUCCCUAUCUGCCGUGGGCGCUGGAGAACUGAGGGGGGCUGCUCCUAGUACGAGAGGACCGGAGUGGACGCAUCACUGGUGUUCGGGUUGUCAUGCCAAUGGCACUGCCCGGUAGCUAAAUGCGGAAGAGAUAAGUGCUGAAAGCAUCUAAGCACGAAACUUGCCCCGA
rnacentral:rRNA from 4 species